UCAUGCUCCUGUUGUUAGGGAAGAAAACAAGUGGCAGGCGUAAACUGCUCCCCACCUUGACGGGUACCUAACCAGAAAGCCCCCGUCUAAUUACGUGCCCAGCAGGCGACGGUAAAUAUGGUAGGUGGCCAAGCGUUGUCCCGGAAUUUAUUGGGGCGUAAAGGGGCUCGCAGGCCGGUUUCUUAAGUCUGAAUGUGAAAGCCCCCGGCUCAACCGCGGAGGGUCAUUUGAAACUGUGAAACUUGAGUGCAGAAGAGGAGAGUGGAAUUCCACGUGUAGCGGUGAAAUGUGUAGAGAUGUGGAGGAACACCAGUGGUGAAGGCGACUCUCUGCUCUGUAACUGACGCUGAGGAGCGAAAGCGUGGGGAGCGAACAGGAUUAGAUACCCUGGUAGUCCACGCCGUAAACGAUGAGUGCUAAGUGUUAGGAGGUUUCCGCCCCUUAGUGCUGCAGCUAACGCAUUAAGCACUCCGCCUGGGGAGUACGGUCGCAAGACUGAAACUCAAAGGAAUUGACGGGGGCCCGCACAAGCGGUGGAGCAUGUGGUUUAAUUCGAAGCAACGCGAAGAACCUUACCAGGUCUUGACAUCCUCUGACAACCCUAGAGAUAGGGCUUUCCCUUCGGGGACAGAGUGACAGGUGGUGCAUGGUUGUCGUCAGCUCGUGUCGUGAGAUGUUGGGUUAAGUCCCGCAACGAGCGCAACCCUUGAUCUUAGUUGCCAGCAUUCAGUUGGGCACUCUAAGGUGACUGCCGGUGACAAACCGGAGGAAGGUGGGGAUGACGUCAAAUCAUCAUGCCCCUUAUGACCUGGGCUACACACGUGCUACAAUGGACAGAACAAAGGGCUGCAAGACCGCAAGGUUUAGCCAAUCCCAUAAAUCUGUUCUCAGUUCGGAUCGCAGUCUGCAACUCGACUGCGUGAAGCUGGAAUCGCUAGUAAUCGCGGAUCAGCAUGCCGCGGUGAAUACGUUCCCGGGCCUUGUACACACCGCCCGUCACACCACGAGAGUUUGCAACACCCGAAGUCGGUGAGGUAACCUUUAUGGAGCCAGCCGCUAGUAAUAGUGUCAGCCACUGG
rnacentral:rRNA from 1 species